UUUGCUAAAUAGAGCUAGUUCUGGUUUGUGAUUCAUUUUGAUACUUCAGAUUUGGGUAGUAGACCAAUAUAACUUAGUCGUCAGUGUGGUUUUAAGCUGGAAAAACGUAUUUGUUUUUCUUAAAGUGCCUUUUUUGGACGGGUGUGUGCGAUUGUUUUGUUUUAUGUCACGUGACCUCGACCAUGUCGACACAAAAUUGAAAUAAACCACCCUUUUCUGUCAUUAUUUAGGACGGAUAUUUCUCUGAUAAAAAUAUUAAUAUAAUUGGCCAAUUUCUUAGGCAUAUGAUGUAGCGAAUUCCCAUGAAGAUUUAACUUAAUUUCAACCAAUGGGAUAGCAACCACCACCGGAAGAUCGCGGAGAAAUCGGUAAACUCAACGGAGUUAAUUCAGAAAUUUACCAAAAAAAAUUGUUUGUUGGAUAUACAAUAUUUACUCUCUUUAUUUCACUUCAUUUACAUUAUAUACUCCCGCACACACGUGUAUCUUAAGAGCCCCUCCUAAAGGGGGUCUUAUAAAUAUACUAAACUAGCCUACAUGUUUUCCUCUACGUGUCUGGAGCACUAGGACAGGAUCAGAAUUAGGACCACACGGCCAGACUCUAGUGAUUGAGAACGACAAGAAGGAAAGUAGGGGUGACACAACGGCCUGAGGAAAUGGAACACCAGGGGAAAAGGAAACUUGUUUCCAUACUAAGGAAAGACAUUUUCCCAUUACCAGCACCAUCAUGAGCAGAAGGAACUAGAAAUGUUGCCUGCUCACAUGACAGCGUUCAGCUUGUCAGAUCCACGGAUUCUAACUUGAGGCCACAGAUGUGAAAUGUCUGACACUGGUUCUUCCUCACGCUUCUGACACUGUGCAGCUGACCAAAGUUCAAGCGCAGCGGUGAGUGAAGAAGACUAUCGACUGCAUGAAAGGCAUACAUGGUGAUAACAUUAGAAAUGUCUGCGAUGGGCUUUGGUACACACUAGUGAAAGCUUCAACCCCAAGUACCUUGACGAGGUAUGUUAUGAAGAGCAAAUCAUGCCAAAAUGUCGUAUCAAAACUGGGCAAAGUCAGCAAACGAAGAAAGAUUCAGGAGAGACGUUGUCCUGCUAAUGUUGUGCGCAGUAUCAAAAUGUUAUAUAAAGGGGGUUUAGUGAGCAGUCGUAAAUACAUCGCAAUCAGAGCAUCUAGCAUUAGUGUGUCUAAGCCUGAGCCUCUGACCUAUAAUGAAGUUCGUGAGGAAAUAGAUAAGGUUAGAGAGGACCUCACAGUCAGUGCACUAGAAGGUGGCAAGGGCUGAUACCAUGACUCACAAACCACUUUGGUAAAACUUGCCAAGCUGUACCUUCAAUUAGAUAAAAUAAUGAUCCAGAAUCAUGGAGUUGGCUUGAAUUGGCUCAAUAAGAGCAGGGGGGAGUUCAGUAUUGCAAUUGGUGCUGAUGGGGCACCAGCUGGCAAGCUGGGCACACAUACAUCGCUGCUGAUGUCCUUUCUGAACAUCACCGAUAUAGUUGGUAGCUGUGAUCAUAACUUCCUCCUGUGUGGUGGUGAUGUGACUGAAGAUGACCCCACUUUUUUGGACCACCUUUCCAAGAUAAUUAAAGACAUGACAGAAAUUGAAGAGAGAGAAUAUAACAUUGGGUCUGAUCGAGUAAAGUUCAAAUUGGAAAUGAUACCAGCUGAUUGUAAGUGGGCAGCUGUUGCCUGUGGGGAGCUAUCUAAUGCAGCUACAUAUCACAGUACCUUUCGCAAUGUGCACAAAGAUGAGCUGAGAAAAUUGAACGCAAGUAUUGGUUUUGAAAGUCACAACAAAUGGCAGCCUUGGGGAUAUCAACAAAGAAUGGCUCAUGCCAAGGGAGUGUCUCGUGUCAAAAAAAGUUAAUGUUCGUGGGAAGGUUCUGAAAACAAUUGCCAACAUGCGUUCCCGUCAAGAAUUUGAGCCAGUUAUUGGAAAGUAUUCUGACAAAUGUUAUUUCGAGCCGCUUCAUGUCAAAAAUAAUGCCUGUCAACAAUUGAACCUUCAGUUACUGUUUGAUGUUAUUGCAAGAACUGAGGAUCGAGUGCUUAAGAUGGACUUGCAGAGUGACGAAUUCCUGGCGUCACCGAUAGGGCAGUACCUGUAUAGCUUAAAGAACACUGUCAAGGCUGGUAAGCUGCAUACAAAGUUGCUCAGAUGGUUCAAAGAAUCUCAGAAUAAUCUCUCAAAAGAAGGGGUUGUUAAGUGCACCAUCCGCUUCACUGGAGAAGAUUCUAUGAAGUUUCUAAAUCACUUCCCUUAUCUCAUUGAAGCUCUCAACAAACCAGCUGAAAAAUCGAAUUUAGUAAAGUACCGUCAAUUGCUGUUUCAUGUUGCUUGCACUUUGCUGAGAGAAAUUGUUGCUCUGUCAUCCAAAAUUAAAUUAAGCCAGUUUGAACUUGAACAGUUGAAAGCUUCGUGUGAGAUGAACCAUGCACUCCAUGCCCUGUUCUUGACAAAGGUGACCCUGACUACUUGGCACAUUGGCUACGCCUUGCCUUUCCAUGCAAAUUUGAUCUACUCCAAGUUUGGUGUAGGUUUGGGCAUCAAUACCAUGCAAGGACGAGAGGCAAAGCAUCGGCAAAUUUCCAACUAUGCCAAAUUCACCAUUCCACAGCAAAAGUGGACAGGUAUAUUCAAGCAUGAAUACAUCCAUUUGAUAUAGCUCAAAGAGCAUGACCUGUCUGAAGCUGCUAAGGAAAUCGCAAAGAACCGUGAUCACUCUAAGUACCAUGUUUCUCAGAUUUCUCCUGAUUUGUGUAGUUGUGGGCUCUCUGCUGCUAGUAGUAUCUGCAUCUUCUGUAACCAUCCAGGGAGAAAGCUCAUAUUGGAGAGUGCUGCAAAACGCAGAGUGUUGUCAGAAGUGAGACAGUUAAUGAAAUGAAUCAAAGACGUGAACAUUCAACUGAUAGACUAGGCUAUUUUGAUGUGAAAUGAAUGCAGUUUUUCUAAAUUUGAUGAGCGCUGUUUUUUCAGCCGUAGCCCAACGCUAUGAUAGGUGAUUUUUACAGGGAUUUCAAUUUUGUGGUUCACUGAGGUGCGACCUGGUCUGCAAAGUUACCACGGAUAAAAUACCGUGCUGGUCAAUCUGCAAAAUGAAAAUGCGUAAAAUUCAAAUUGAUAUUGUUGAUGAAAAAUGAAAGGUAUUUUCCUUACUGUUAUAACACUUUUGCACAAUACCACCCUGUAGAAUCAGCUGCAACCUCUCCGAGUAUCUCCCGCCUCACCGAGUAAUGGCCAACAACCUCUCCGAGCAAAUCCAGCCUCAGAUUGUAAAAAAAGUCCUUGUAUGGACCGUUCAUCCAACUUAUAGCUUCCUCACUGUGUCAAGGCCAUGCCAGGACACCCAAGGAGUCCUGACAAGGUUUUCAAUUAGGUGUUGCAACUCUGGUUUUCUGUUUUCAAGAUGUUCCAUAGUUCAAAUGUAUUCAUCAAUUUCUCCGUAAGUGCAACUACUGUAACAGCUGACAGCUAUAAAUGCAACAUGAGUUUGAAAGCCUUAACAUGGCUCCUUGGUUGUCUUGACAUAACCUCACCACAAUAAGAAAGCUAUCAGUUUGGUUUCACAGUCAAUAUGAGGGCCUUGGUUUUGGGAUGUCUUCAGUUGGUGGCUGGAUUUGGUCGGAGAGGUUGUUGGCCAUGACUCGGAGAGGUUGGAGAUGCUCGGAGAGGGUGCAGCUGAUUCCACGGGUGAAUACUGUAUGGGCAACAAUGCAUUGUAAUAGCAGAAAAAUUUCAAGUUGUAAAUGAUAUUAUGAAUCCAGUAAUUCUAACUAUCAGUCAAUUCAUUUUACUGUAUGGUACAUUUGCAAAUAAUGCAUGAUAUAUUACACAUAAGGAAUGUCCAGUUGUUAUAAGAAUAUCCGUCCGAAUGGUUACUUAUAUAUUCAUUGUCAUAUGUACAUGUACAUACUUGUUA